CCGAGACACCUGGACCUGUGGCCCGGUAUGACCGAUAAACUGGCCCAGGAACGUCGUGGGGCGCAGCCCCCGGCCUGCCCGCCCAUGAUCAGCCAGCAGCCGCUGCAACCCCAGGGAG
rnacentral:sRNA from 1 species